GGAUUUCAGAGAAAAACACAAAUCUAUUUUCUGACCUAUAUACACAGUAUAAAAUUACAAUGUCUUAUGAGAUCUGUGCUGUAGGAAGAGGCCUCCCUCAUUCAUUAUAUUUACGUUUGAUUUGCAACAAGAUUUCUACACAAGGAUGAAAUCCAGCCUUUCUGCAAAUACAUUUUAUAUAAUGUUUCUUUCCAGUGUGAAUGUUGUGACUUAUAAUGACCUUUAUCUUCUAGAUAAGGGCAAGCCUUCCUUCAACACAUUUGUAAGUCUUCUCUCUACUCAGUAUCCUCAGAUGCAAACUCAGAGAUGAACUUGGACUAAAGACCUUUCCAUUACAAGUCCAUAGGAGAUAUGUUCCCAAGCAGAAAAUCCCUGCUGAUUAAGAAGCUCUGUCCUAGCUUUAUCCAUGAUUUCAAUCUUUUAGGAAUUUUCUGGAGGCAAUUCAGGAAUGAAGUGAGCCUGAAUGUUUUUCCACUGGAUUAUAUGAAUGAAGUUUUACAUCUAGCAUAGCAUCUCCCAUGUCUAGUAGGGAUAAUAUCUACUAAAAACUUUUACCAUGAUCCAAACACUCAAAAGUUUUCCUCUAAUGUGCACUCUCAGUUAAGCAAGAUUUGAACUUUGUCUGAAGGUUUCCACAUUCAUGAGGGUUCUGUCUAAUGUGGAUUUUCUCAUGCUUACCAAGACUGUUGUGCCAUAGGAAAGCAUUUCCACAGUCAUUACCUCCAUAAGGCUUCUCUCAGUGUGGAUUCUGAUGAGAAGUAAGAUUGUUGCGCUGUGUGAAAGCCUUUCUACAUUCAUUACAUUAAUAAAGCUUUUCUCAGUGUAGAUUCUCUGAUGGACAGCAAGACUGUUGCGCUGUGUAAAUGCCUUUCCACAUUCAUUACAUUCAUAAGACUUCUCUCUAGUGUGCAUUCUCUGAUGGAAAGUAAGAUUGCUGCGCCGUGUGAAAGCCUUGCCACAUUUGUUACAUUCAUAAGGCUUCUCUCAGUGUGGAUUCUGUGAUGUUCAUGAAGACUGUUUCUCCAUAUGAAAGUCUUUCCACAUUCAUUACAUUUAUAAAGCUUCUUUCCAGUGUGGAUUCUCUGAUGUUUUCCAAGACCUGAACUGCAUCUCAAAUUCUUUCCACACUGAUUAAGUCCAUAGGAUUUUUCUUCAGUGUGGAUUCUCUGAUGUCUAGCAAGACUGAAGCAAUUUCUGAAAUUCUUUCCACACUGAUUACAUUCAUAAGGCUUUUCUCCAGUGUGCAUUCUCUGAUGUCUAGCAAGACUGGAGCAAUUCGUGAAAGUCUUUCCACAUUGAUUACAUUCAUAAGGCUUUUCUCAGUGUGCAUUCUCUGAUGGACAGCAAGACUGGAAAGCUGUGUGAAAGCCUUUCCACAUUCAUUACAUUCAUAAGGCUUCUCUCCU
rnacentral:lncRNA from 1 species